rnacentral:misc_RNA from 1 species
GCAAUCAAAAUUGAUGAAUAUUCCAAGGAACAUAGUUUAUCAAACAAAUAAAAGUACAGAAUCACCACAUAUAUAUUAGCUCUCUAAAGAAAAACGAUGAUGGGACUCGUAGACGCAUGCAUACAUAACACCAACACUAUGAAACGAUAGCUCAGUCGAUGAAAACCACAAUCUACAAAUAAAUCAAAUAGUGAAAACACAGCAGAAGAAUGUUUGCACACUCGAUGAGUCCAACUGUUUAGCACAAUACACUUCAUUGAUCAGCUGAUGGGUUUGUCAGCAACUCAAGUGAUUUUUUGAGGUAAUCUACAGCGAUAGAGACAUCAUCAAAUGCCAGAGCUCCGACAGCAAACCUUGCAGCCUUGUGUGCUUCAGCUAUUUUCUCCGGAGGGGGCUGGUAAUUGCUGUCGUAUGCGUAUGUUUUCGCUGGAGCAGCUGCAACUUCUGGUGCAGACCCAUUUCUGUCAUUUGAGUUGUAUUGAGCGCUU